CAAUAGCGUAUAUUAAAGUUGUUGCAGUUAAAAAGCUCGUAGUUGAAUUUUUGCUUGCCGCCGAUGUCGGAACUUCCGUACGUUCGGCGGCGUGCAUCCUUGGGUGGAACCUGUGUGGCAUUAGGUUGUCGUGCAGGGGAUGCUCAUCGUUUACUGUGAAAAAAUUAGAGUGUUCAAAGCAGGCUUACGCCGUUGAAUAUAUUAGCAUGGAAUAAUAAGAUAGGACCUUGGUACUAUUUUGUUGGUUUGCGCACCGAGGUAAUGAUUAACAGGGACAGUUGGGGGUAUUCGUAUUCCAUUGUCAGAGGUGGAAUUCUUGGAUUUCUGGAAGACGAACUACUGCGAAAGCAUUUACCAAGGAUGUUUUCAUUAA
rnacentral:rRNA from 1 species